rnacentral:rRNA from 1 species
GCUUGUGGCUAUACUACCCUGAACACGCUUGUUCAGGGUCGGGCCUGGUUAGUGCUGGGACUGGAGACCGCCUGGGAAUACAAGGUGCCGUAAGCU